UGCUCGAGUGGCGAACGGGUGAGUAACACGUGGGUGAUCUGCCCUACACUUCGGGAUAAGCUUGGGAAACUGGGUCUAAUACCGGAUAGGACCAUCGUUUAGUGUCGGUGUUGGUAAAGUUUUUUCGGUGUGGGAUGAGCUCGCGGCCUAUCAGCUUGUUGGUGGGGUAAUGGCCUACCAAGGCGUCGACGGGUAGCCGGCCUGAGAGGGUGUACGGCCACAUUGGGACUGAGAUACGGCCCAG
rnacentral:rRNA from 1 species